GAUGGAUUGAGAACGCUGCUGGUGGUGCUGGUGGGCAGGAUGGGAACUGUGUGGGGGUUCGCUGCUUCUCCUUGCUGGCUGUUUCCACUAGUUGCCGACGGACCUCCAUCACCCCCUCUUUAUGUUUAUUGGUCAGCAUGGCCUCCCAUAGUGACUGUGCUGCAGUUGACCUGGCACUGACACUUUUUCUGCUGGAUAAAAGGGCAUCAACAGCUACAUCUCUGUCCCUUUGACGGCUAGACUGACAUGAGCAGUGAUUUUCUCCGUCCUCUUAGGAGUGACCAGAAACUGAAGCGAGGCAGACACAAAGAGAGAAAAGGGGCUCAGGACGGGGAGAGGGAAGAUGUAAUCUGUUCCAGACCUUGGGCUGGGGCUAGAUGGGGAGGAGAGGGGCUCACACUGGGACGCCCGCCAUCUUCACACUAGAACCAGACACAAAGACCGGCAAACACAACUCACCCAAGGACAAGAGUCUAAUGUAAAA